GCUGGGUGUGGUGGCUCACACCUGUAAUCCCAGCACUUUGGGAGGCCGAGAUGGGAGGAUCGCUUGAGCCCAGGAGUUCAAGACCAGCCUGGGCAACAUAGUAAGACCCCAUCUCUA
ensembl:misc_RNA Metazoa_SRP Metazoan signal recognition particle RNA